UCGAGUUUUACAACUCCCAAACCCCCUGUGAACUUAUACCUUUACUGUUGCUUCGGCGGGCUUGCCCCGGGAACAGGCUCGCUCGCUCGCUAGGGCCCUAGCGAGCCGGCCCGGAACCAGGCGCGCGCCGGGGGACCUUCGACUCUCGUAUUUUUCUCUGGCAUGUCUGAGUGGACUUUAUGUAAAAUGAACUA
rnacentral:misc_RNA from 1 species